UACAGAGGGUGCAAGCGUUGUUCGGAAUUAUUGGGCGUAAAGGGCGCGUAGGCGGUGCGGUAAGUCUGCAGUGAAAUCUCUGGGCUCAACUCAGAGUCUGCUGUGGAAACUGCCGUGCUUGAGUGUGGGAGAGGUGAGUGGAAUUCCCGGUGUAGCGGUGAAAUGCGUAGAUAUCGGGAAGAACACCAGUGGCGAAAGCGCUCUACUGGGCCAUAACUGACACUGAGGGACGAAAGCUAGGGGAGCGAAAGGG
rnacentral:rRNA from 1 species